UGCAAGUCGUGCGGACCUUUUAAAAGCUUGCUUUUAAAAGGUUAGCGGCGGACGGGUGAGUAACACGUGGGCAACCUGCCUGUAAGACUGGGAUAACGCCGGGAAACCGGGGCUAAUACCAGAUAGUUUUUUCCUCCGCAUGGAGGAAAAAGGAAAGGCGGCUUCGGCUGCCACUUACAGAUGGGCCCGCGGCGCAUUAGCUAGUUGGCGGGGUAAUGGCCCACCAAGGCAACGAUGCGUAGCCGACCUGAGAGGGUGAUCGGCCACAUUGGGACUGAAACACGGCCCAAACUCCUACGGGAGGCAGCAGUAGGGAAUCUUCCGCAAUGGACGAAAGUCUGACGGAGCAACGCCGCGUGAGUGAAGAAGGCCUUCGGGUCGUAAAACUCUGUUGCCGGGGAAGAACAAGUGCCGUUCGAACAGGGCGGCGCCUUGACGGUACCCGGCCAGAAAGCCACGGCUAACUAC
rnacentral:rRNA from 1 species